rnacentral:rRNA from 1 species
CAAUUAAACUGAUCUCCUAGUAAAAAAGCUAGAAUUACAACAUAAGACCAGAAGACCCUGUGAAGCUUAAAUAAAACUAUUAAACCAUAUAAUAGCUACUUUCGGUUGGGGCGACCUUGGAAAAAAAAAGAACUUCCAAAUAAAAUGAAUAUACCUCAUUAUCUAAACAGGCCAACAAGCCAAAAAUGACCCAGCACAGCUGAUAAUUGAACCAAGUUACUCCAGGGAUAACAGCGCAAUCUUCUUCAAGAGCCCAUAUCAAAAAGAAGGUUUACGACCUCGAUGUUGGAUCAGGACAUCCUAAUGGUGCAGCCGCUAUUAAGGGUUCGUUUGUUCAACGAUUAAUA